GUGGGGAAUAUUGCGCAAUGGGCGAAAGCCUGACGCAGCUACGCCGCGUGUGUGAUGAAGGCCUUCGGGUUGUAAAGCACUGUCGAGGGGGAAGAAGCAAUGACGGUACCCCUCAAGAAAGCACCGGCUAACCCUGUGCCAGCAGCCGCGGUAAUACAGGGGGUGCAAGCGUUGCUCGGAAUCACUGGGCGUAAAGCGUACGCAGGCGGACCGUUAAGUCGGGUGUGAAAGCCCGGGGCUCAACCCCGGAACUGCAUUCGAUACUGGCGGUCUUGAAUACGGGAGAGGUGAGUGGAAUUCCUGGUGUAGAGGUGAAAUUCGUAGAUAUCAGGAGGAACACCGGUGGCGAAAGCGGCUCACUGGCCCGAUAUUGACGCUCAUGUACGAAAGCGUGGGGAGCAAACAGGAUUAGAAACCCGGGUAGUCC
rnacentral:rRNA from 1 species